CACGUAGUUAGCCGUCCCUUUCUGGUUAGAUACCGUCACACGAGGAGCUUUCCACUCUCCUCGUCGUUCUUCUCUAACAACAGAGUUUUACGAUCCGAAAACCUUCUUCACUCACGCGGCGUUGCUCGGUCAGACUUUCGUCCAUUGCCGAAGAUUCCCUACUGCUGCCUCCCGUAGGGGUUUGGGCCGUGUCUCAGUCCCAAUGUGGCCGAUCACCCUCUCAGGUCGGCUAUGUAUCAUCGCCUUGGUGAGCCUUUACCUCACCAACUAGCUAAUACAACGCGGGAUCAUCUUUGAGUGAUGCAAUUGCAUCUUUCAAACUUAAACUUAUGUUUAAAGCUAUUAUGCGGUAUUAGCAUUCGUUUCCAAAUGUUCGUCCCCCGCUCAAAGGCAGAUUCCCCACGUCGUUACUCACCCGUUCGCUGCUCAUCCAAUCGGUACAAGUACCAAUCUUCAGCGCUCAACUUGCAUGUAUUAGGCACGCCGCCAGCGUUCUC
rnacentral:rRNA from 1 species